CUAUUUUUGUAAACACACCUGAGAGUACGGGGCACUGUAGCUCUGCCUCUAUCACAGACACCUGAACCACCUUUACUUGUGUAAACAUCAAACUGGCAAUCACGAAAGGAACAAAAAUUGAUUCUGUUUUAUUUUUCAGAUGCUUCCCUAACCCUUUGGGUAUACUGGAUACAUUAUCUUGGUGUCAAUUUCUGCCUCGGGUCCCUCAACCUUUUUCUUCUACAACUCCUUCAAUGCUUUGUAUAGAUCCCUCUUACAUUCUUAGUAGAGUAUACUUCGACUUAUCUUUCAAAAUUUACCCUGAUGGGCCCAACUCUAUUAUCAUUUUUUCCCAUAAGUUGUCUGACUAAGCUUCCAGCAGUUUGUUCCUGUUUAGGUAUCAGUUCUCCACUAAAGAAUGUAAACUCUAGGAAAGCAAGGGCCAUUGUUUUAUUUGCUGAUGAAAAUGUAACACGCGUUGAAUGGAGGAAUAAGUAAGCUAAUUGAUCCCUUUUGUCUUCCUCUAGGUAACUCAAUACUAUUAGAACUUUUGAUGCAAAAGUCUUCAAGAAUGGUCAACAGAAAAUAUUGACAACACAUGUGCUGACUACAUUCUACCAAGAGGAAAAGAAGAACUUCUUGCAGAGAAGGAGAAAGGAUGCUGGAAGUCUACUCCAGCACUUACUAAUAGAGUGUAACAAAUUAUGGGGUUUUAGAAAUUCAAUUUAGCUCUCAACAUGCGCCGUUUCACCACCUGCGUACACAAGAGUCACACCCACACGAGUUCCCUCUGCCAGCUCCAUCUCGUCCCUCCUCCUCAUUAGCCAACACCUAAUUACAUACUAAUUGGCUCAGAGAACACAAGCUUGUUAUUGCACUAAAAACACUCAGAGCUCCCCCACAGACAGAUUCUCAUGAAAACCAAAUAUAAAAGGAGUUGGCCUUGUGCCUGGUUUUCAUCAAGACAUAGCUAGAUUCUUCUAGCUCCUUCCUGGCCACAAAGUUAGGCUUCGCUCUUAUGCUUCUGUGAAGUAAUUUUCUUCAGGGACACAUUGAAGUAGUUAGUACCAGCCAAAUGGACCGAACCAGAUUUGAGUGUGUCAUAACCAUAACAAUUUCAUAAAUAAAGGACUUCACAAUGACCUUGAUCAUUAUAUGACUGCUUCGUUAGUCAUAGAGAGCCACAGUUAAUCAGGAACAGUUUCUCAUUAAACUUACUAUUGUUCUCCCCUUGUGAUCUCUAGAUGUCAAUAUUCUCCCACUAUUGCUACCUCAGAUUAGACAAACUGACUUUCUAAACUCAUUUGAGAGCAUGAACAUGCUUUCUCUUUGCUGAACUUUCUCUUCUCCCAACAAAAACAUAGCAAACAGUUUCUAUUAUCACAGCAUAGUUACGUGAGCUGUGAUUAAUGGCAUAGAAGCCAUAGGAGUAUGUUUUGAGAUGCAGGUUUCAAAGCUGUUCGAUUUUUCUCAACCAAGUUCUGGCAUUGUAAUUGCCAGUGAUAGGCAGCCCCACAGAGGAGACAUUGCAAAAUACAGAGGACCACUUGUGCAAACAAGGACCACUUGUGGUACAAUUUAUCUCCCAUAGUCCACUGGUGUGGGAGAGGUGGAGGUAACACUAGAGAGAAGACUGUUGUCAUGCUAGGAAGCAGAAAUCACUGCCAUGGCUAAAAUAAUUAGGAGCAAGGGAAAUAGAAGCCCCAAGCUGUAUCCUUCUAUCCAAAUGAGCCACUGACUGAGGCCAAUUGUACAC
rnacentral:lncRNA from 1 species